rnacentral:lncRNA from 12 species
GGUGGAGGGCCAGGAGGCUCCUGCAGCCCCUGUCUGGCCUUUGCUGUGGGUGAUGCUGGUGCUACACAGCCUUGAUCCAGCGAAUUUCAGAUGUUUCCCCUCCAACCCUCUGCUGUCAAUAACACUUGGUUUGUCCUUCUCGUUGGCAAAUGCUGUGUCUUCAGCCACCAGUCGGUCAAAUGUUCCUGCUGCUACAGGGAACUUGCUUUUUGUGUGGGCAGCUUGGCUGUGCAGCUGCAGUGGAGCAUCUGCCUGCCUCACAGGGCUCGUGGUGCUGGGAAGGACCUGCCUGCUCACCCCUCUGCAGGGCUCACACAUGACUCAGUGUAAACUACAGCACGUUUGUUCCCAGUCUUCUCUCCUUUUCAUUGUUUAAUGUAAACAUUUUGAAUGUGCCUGAGCGAUUUUUGUCUCGUGCACUUCCCCUGGCAGACGGGACAUCCGCGAUGAUUGAGCUGGAGCAUGAGCAGUUUUCCUUCAGAAACCUCGGGCCAAGGCUGUGGAUGAUCUUGUGUGGAUGCAGCAGGGGUGUAGGAGGGCUGUGUGAUAAACUCUUCCUGCAGUGCAGGUGUUUAUCAGAGAAGUGGCUGUGGGAGGCAGCUGCUCCUUGGGCCUGUGGCUUUCGUGCUGCUGUGGUUUUGGGGUGCCCAGCCAGCAAUGCCUGGGUUCUGCUGCACCUCUCCCAUCACUUGGGGUUGUGGCUUACCUGCAGGUGUAAGGUUUUGGACAGAGACACGUCGGUGACACUGUUCCCCUUUGGGAAGCUGGGAAUUAGGGUGCCCUAGGCCAGGUGGCUCCAGCCCUGCCCACGAGCUUUCCACAGCAGAGCCCGACAGCCCUGGUGACUGCCAGGAUGGGGCCUGUGCUGUUUUGUUGUCACAGGGGCUGAUUUUGGAUUUGCUGCUCAGCCAUCGCUGCUCUGUGUUUUUUUCCUGCUCCUCUUUGGGUGAUUAACUGCGAAAAGAAGCGUUUCUCCUUUCUGCGAGCCACUCCUCUCCCUGCUUCUUGGCACUAGUUGCUAAUCAAAACAGGUCUUUGAUAGCCAAAUGGCAUUUGGCUGAGCCAAACACAGAGCUAGACACACAGGCUUCUUGUGAUGAAGCGCUUUAUUAAUGUG